UACGUAGGGGGCAAGCGUUGUCCGGAAUCAUUGGGCGUAAAGCGCGUGUAGGCGGUUCGAUAAGUCUGCUGUGAAAGUCCAGGGCUCAACCCUGGGAUGCCGGUGGAUACUGUCGAGCUAGAGUACGGAAGAGGCGAGUGGAAUUCCCGGUGUAGCGGUGAAAUGCGCAGAUAUCGGGAGGAACACCAAUUGCGAAGGCAGCUCGCUGGGACGUCACUGACGCUGAGACGCGAAAGCGUGGGGAGCGAACAGG
rnacentral:rRNA from 1 species